ensembl:lncRNA
UUUUCUUAAGCUAGGUAAAUUAUGCUAUGCCACUGAUCAAUAGCGUCUGCAUUUCUUCCUCUUUUUCAUCGUGUUAAUGUAAUCAUAACAUACCAUUUUGUGACUACGUUUCUAAGCCCACAUAUACUGUUUUAAAAGCUCAAGAUCUGUUGGGACAAUCUGGACUUGGUCAUGAUCUGGCUUCUUUGGGUCAUUGUCAGACAGCUGGUCAAGGUGAGCCUGAACAGAAGAAAAUCUGUGGAGGGACACACAAAAUGACCAUUUAACUGCCCACAUAUGCCAGCAAAGAUGCGGAUUUGAAUGACCUGCCCAGUUCCUUAAUGUGCCUUUCCCCACUGGCCACAUCUGAAAGCCCUUGAUGUAUCCACUUACAGGCUUGUGGGACAAGACACUAUUCAAAGGAAUGGGAGACACACUGAUCCAGAAGUUCCAACACUGUGAUCUGCAACGAACUGGGCUUCAGUGAUCAACAGUCUCCUCAAGACUUAAUCUGUUGGGAAUUUUAUGUGCCCAUGGUCGGCUUCAUCUGUCUUCCAGACAGAGUGAUAAAAAGUGGAAUCACAGCUAAUGGAGUCCCAUGCAGGUUGCUCUGCUCACAGGAGGACAUUAGGAGGAGAGUGGAUCACUUAAUCUUUCAUCAAGGUAAGAUCUCUUCUAUUUGUGCUAUGAAAAUGGGUCCACAUCAGACUGUUCACUGUAGGCAGUGCCUACUGCGUAGAAAGAGCUCAAUAAAUAUUGUAAACUGAAUGAGGAAAUGGAUGAAUGGAAAACAAUUCAAUCCCAAGAAGGUUACCCCAGAGAGCCUAUACAAAUCAAAUUGUAAAAAUUUUCACCUUGCCUGAUUCUGUGUGGACACAGCCUCAAUUUCCCCAGGGCCUGAAGAAUAAUUACAAUGAUCAUUCAUGUCUCCAUGUCGAAAUAAGGCAUAACAUUCAAACUUUCCCAAGGUAUAUUAUUGCACACACUUCAUUUUGGAAAGGUUGAUAUAGUAAAUUAGCAGCUCCACCACAAGGCUAAUGAGGCUAAUGAGAGGUAUCGGUAAAAUUGCAGCCAUAGAAAAUAAGAUGGCCUUUCCCAUCAUGAGAAUCAAAAAUGUAUAGCAGAAAGCCAUGUAUGGAAACACAUUCCACAACAAGCAGACUCUAUCAUAAUACUUUUUUCAAAAGUGUUUUCUCUCUCUCUUCUUGUAUUAAUUAUUCAGUAUUUUGUCUUUAAAAAUAGCACUAAGUGCAAAUUAUGUGCAUGAUAUUAUGAUAAAUAGUGUGGGUGACAGAUAACACAUAAGUCAGUUUCUACCUACAAGAACUGCACAGCAAGUUGAGGACAUAAACAUAUGCACACAAAUCUACAUGUGAAAUGUCUGAUGGUUCCUAUACUAAGUAGGGAGACACCUAAUUACUAAGAUUUCUGAUACCUGCAAGUAAAGAGUCAAGGGCCACCAUGUUGAGUAGGGGGAGGUUGGAAAGGUUGAAAGUAUGUUAUAAUAAAAAUAAACAAAGUUGAGAUGGAACAUCUCUGGAUAUCUGUGGGUUCAAGUCAGUCCAAUAAUAAUGAGGUGGAGAAAGUCAUGGGUCAUCCACAGAGAUGUGGCACUUGUAGUGACUAACAGUAAUAAUAAUAACUGCUAAGUAGAGUAAGAGGAGCACUGGUUUUGGAAUCUAACGAUAUACAUUGGAACUCCAGCUCUGUCAAUUACCAUGCAACUAAACUUGAGCCAAAGUUAUGAGCAUCAGUUUACCAAUCUGUCAAUAGUUGAUAGGUAUCUAUCUCAGAGGGAUCUUCAAAGGAACCAUUGUGGAAAUAUAUAAAAUAAGAAACACUUUGCCAAUACACAGGGAAAAGAUAAAAAAAUUACAUUUCUAUUAUAUGAAUGAAGUUUAGAAGUGGGUACUAAAAGGAAAGCACAGAGACACUGUCUGAAUGGUGAGAGGCUCAGAUUUGUCUCAAGUGUUUUACUGAACCAGUUCAGACGAGGUUGAGUCAAUAGGGUUACCCAUCUCCAAGACUGAUGUUUGAAAGAUAAUCAAAAAGUCAAAUAAUCCUAACACGUAUCACUGCCUUGUUUCAGCCUGUAUGUCCCACUCAAUGUGUUUAGCUUCCAUUUGAAUAGUUAACCUGCUCAGAGUGGAAAACUUAAUUGGAUCAUUCAGCCCUUGCUAUUUUUAUUUUUGGAUCAAUUCAGUUUGGCAGGAGACACCGAGGAAAGUAAGCAAAUGACUGCCAAAUUUCCACUUAUCUUGGUGGAAAUAUAUAUACAAAUCUUAGCUCUCAAUAAAGGUAUAUCGGCGGGAGGGGGGGGGUCUUGCUAAAGGUGAAGAAGUUUCUAGAAAAAGAGGCAGGCGGUCUCUCAGGUUAUCUUAUUCUUGGAGAAUUUUCAUCAUGCACAAUGCAUCUGUAUAUUUAAGUUACUUCUGCUAUAACCAGCAGGCUCUCUGGAUUUCAUUCCACUUCUGCUUCCUAAAUGACUUCUGAACUUGGCUCACACUUUUCUUUACCAUCUAAUCACAAUGACAAUAACAUCUACCAAACAAGGCAUUUUGUUUUACAUUUUACAAGGCAUUUUCGCGUAUUCAUUUAAGUCCCCUAAAAACCAUGAAAGGUUGACGUUGUUAUUUUUACUUUACAAAUGAGAGAAUAAAUUUAGAAAAUAGGAAAAGGUAAAAAUAUAAAGUCAAGAGUGGAAAGAGGAGGGCAGCCUCUUAGAAUUAAAAACACCAUGGGAAGUAAUACUGUCAGAUGGAGGUUAUAUCUCAGUGGCCACCAAUUUUUGAUAGGCUAUGAGGUUGAAGUUUGCACCUUCUUUUGAGAGCCUACAACCAAAUGUUCCAAAUGUUCAUCCUAGCUCAGAUUGGCUAAUAAGUGCCCAAGUCUCAAAUCCUACAUCAUACUAUCUCCUUGUGCCCCCAUGCUUGAGAUCUCAAUCCUCUUAUCUAAUAACAAGACCCAUCUUUGCCAAAACAUGCCAUUGAGUGCAGGAGGGGCAAUGGUAUAUGGUGGUGCAUGACAGAAAAUCCUGAUUGUAUAGCAAAUCUAUACAAAGAAGAAAAACAAGGGCAUGAAGUUGUGUCGGGGAAAAAAAAAUGUCAGGAUGCCAGGCACUGAUUAGAUCACAAUCUACUUCUGCCUAAAUGCAUAUCCCAUGACCAAAUAUUUUGUGAUGCAUUCAAGGUUCUUAAUAACACUACGUCCAUCCACAUGGACUUGUUUCUUGAGUUCUUUUCUUCUGAUAUCUGUCUAAGAAACUAAUUAUCCUUUGAUACACACUAAGGACAGAUGAGUUCAGGAAAAUGCUGAACAAGUAAGAGAGAAAGCCUGUAAACAAUAAUUUGAUGCUGCCUCUAUUUCAUUUGCUUUGUAUUAGCAUCCAUGGCGUAUAUUUAUCUUUAAACCAAUAUUUCUUACCCAGGAUAUUUAAUCCCGAUGAGUUUCUUGUCCCUCUGAAUUCUUACUUCAUUUUUGCCCUUUUUUGUCCUUUAGUUACAGAAUAAAACUUCCCACAGAUAGGGGAAUCUAUCCUGUAGAUCUUUAGAGCAGAGUUGGUUUGUGCCUUCACAUGCAGAAACAAAAACAUAACCCACAGAAACUUUUCUAAAUAUUCUAUCUCAAAGUACUCUAACACAAGUAGCUGAUUGCCUUCCCCACUUCUCAUCAUCCUUCCCUUUCCACCCACAGCUUCUCACUGAACUUUAUUUCCUCUUCUGAGGUUUCUGCCCACCUUUUUAAUGGCAAUGGUCUAGAGGUGAUUGUUAACUUGAACAACCUAAGGAACCAUCCGAGAGUGAUGGUAGGAAGGCUUGGCCAACAAAGGAGAAAACCCAAGAGCCCGGAAGCUGUCCGGGUUUAGGGGAUUGGAGAUUCAUCUUCCUCUUUAUGUAAUGGGGAAAAAAAAGAGAGAGUUGAAAGCUAGAUGGGAUUAUUGGGUAUCGUGAUGGUUAACAUUGAGUGUCAACUUGAUUGGAUUGAGGGACGCAAAGUAUUGUUCCUGGGAAUGACUGUGUGGGUGUUGCCAAAGAAAAUUAACAUUUGACUCAGUGGGCUGGGAAAGGCAGAUCCACCCUCAAUCUGGGUGGCUAGAAUAAAAGCAGACAAAAGAACGUGAAAAGAUUAGACUGGUUGAGUUUUUUGGCCUACAUCUUUCUCCCAUGCUGGAUGCUUCCUGCCCUCGAAGAUCAGACUCCAAGUUCUGCAGCUUUGGGGCUCGGACUGGCUUCCUUGCUCCUCAGCUUGCAGACAGCCUAUUGUAGGACCUCACUCUGUGAUCGUGUGAGUCAAUACUCCUUAAUAAACUCACAUUUAUAUAUACAGCUAUCCUAUUAGUUGUGUUCCUCUAGAGAACUCUAAUAUAGGUAUACAGUGGGACUUGGUGGAAAAUGGAUCCAGACACUAUGGGAGGAAGUGGGUGCAAGGAGCUAGAUGAAAAUAAGGAUAUGUGAGGGUGUGAGGGGGCUUCUUCUUAGGCCCUAGUCUAGAAGCUAGAAUCUAGCUGGGCAUUGAAUUGGACAACACAACUCCCUCAAAUAAUAGGUAGGGAAGUCAGAUGAGUGAAAGCAUUUUCUCCAGGGGAGAAAAGAGGAAAUGCAGAGUAUAAGUGUAGGCAUGGGCUCAAUCAAGAGCAGCACUGCCCCAAUAAAUAGCCACAAAUAGUGGCUGCUGUGGUUUACUUUUAUUAACCCUUGUGUUGUUCCAAGUCCAGAAAAUAUCUUCACAGACACAGUUUCUGAUGUGUGGUUCUCUGGUUUCUAGUUCAUACUACAAUUACACAAAGACAGUAGAGAAAAUUACAUGAUAGGAUUUUUUUUUUGUCUCUCUGUGGCAAUAUGAAUUAUUCACCUUAAAAUUUUCCUUUCUCCACUUAACUUUGGAAUGAUAGAAAAAUGUUGACUUUAAAAAAUAAAUGGAGAGAAAUGAGAGACAAGAACUCCAGAAGCACCUAGUCUUUAUUCACUCAUGUGUUCUUGUCCCAAUUCUACCACAUUACAGUGAAUGGAUGCCUUGGAACUCUUCUUAAAAUAUCAACAUUUAUUAUUUAACAUAUUUUCUAAAAUGCAUGACUC